CGCAUCUGUGCAUGCAGCAUAUCAAUAAGCGGAGGAAAAGGUAAAUGCUGUAUACCUACGCUUAGGAUGUUGACACACGCGCGUGCUCGAUCUAUACAUGACUCUGCGCAUAUCAAUAAGCGGAGGAAAAGAGGGCUAUUACCUACGCUUAGGAUGUUGACACACGCGCGUGCUCGACUCUAUACAUGACUCUGUGCAUAUCAAUAAGCGGAGGAAAAGAAACUAACAAGGAUUCCCUUAGUAACGGCGAGUGAAGCGGGAAGAGCUCAAAUUUGAAAUCUUCAAGGUUUUACCUUGACGAAUUGUAGUUUAAAGAAGUGUUUUCUGUUGAAGUUUUGGUAAAAGUUCUUUGGAAUAGGACAUCAUAGAGGGUGAGAAUCCCGUAUUUGACCAUUAUUUUCAGCUGUGUGAUACACUUUCAAAGAGUCGGAUUGUUUGGGAAUGCAGUCCAAAAUGGGUGGUAAAUUUCAUCUAAAGCUAAAUAUUGGCGAGAGACCGAUAGCGAACAAGUACCGUGAGGGAAAGAUGAAAAGAACCUUGAAAAGAGAGUUAAACAGUACGUGAAAUUGUCAAAAGGGAAGCGUUUGACACCAGUGUUGUUUUCUCGAAAAUCAAUUAAAAAGAGUUAGAUUUUGUCGUGUAUUGACCUUAACAGCUUGCAUUUCAAUUUUCUUGCUUUUUUUAAUGCACUUUUCGUUUAACAAGUCAACAUCAGUUUCUUUUGUUGUAAAAAGGUCAUUGGAAGGUGGCAUUCUUUUCGGAGAAAGUGUUUAUAGCCUUUGACUCCUGCAAUCGGAGAGACUGAGGUCUGCAGCGUAGAUCCUUCGGGGUUAGAUACAUUUGUGCUAAGUUAUAGCUUUUUAUAGACAACUUGUUGACUAUGAUUAGUCUUGUAGCUUACUCGCUUAUGCUAUUUUACCUACGCUUAGGAUGUUGACACACGCGCGUGCUCG
rnacentral:rRNA from 1 species